CGACGCCCGCAGAUCUCGAGCGUGCCGUCCACCCUCUACAUCCUGUUUGCGCCCCCAUCAUCCUCCCAUGGGCCGUGGGUGUUGUGCUCCCUAGCGUGCUCCGCUCCUCUGAAAUCCCCUUCAGAUCCAGCUGUAGUGAGGAGGGGGCAGGCGGUGGCCAGAUCUGGAGGAGGUUGUCGCAUUCUCAUCGCGUCCGUGCAGCCAUCCCCUCCACUCAACGGCGCCCUGCUGCCUGUCCUCCAUCGCCCUCCCCUGGCCCCCGGCAUGUACCUCCCCUCGCAAUGCCUUCCUCCCUGAGCAAGGCACUAAACAUAUGGAAGCUACAGCCUGUACCAUACUGCUUUUGGAAGAGUGGCCACGUAUUGUAAACUACGGGGAACUCAGAUAAUUAGAUGGAUAAUUCAUGCACAGCUCAAGGAAGAGAUGAAAAUAGCAAUAUGAAGAAGUUACCAAUCUGAUGAAAUGAGAUGCAUUCUGAUUUGAGAGAGAAGCAGAUCAAACAUGUUAAUUUGAUUAUACUACAGUUCAGUUGUGUAGUAUUUGGUGCAUAGUUCGAGCUGAAGUGUGUAUUAAGAGGUUGCAUAUAUGUACCAUAUACAAUACUAAAUUAUUAAUGAAAAUCUUUUCAGCAGCUAUUC